GGACGCGUGGUGCAGUGGUAGCACGCUUCCUUAGCAUGGAAGAGGUCCUGGGUUCACGUUCAAUAAACGUUCAAUUCCCAGCGCGUCCA
rnacentral:tRNA from 1 species